rnacentral:rRNA from 1 species
GAAAUCUGGCUUUUUGCCCGAGUUGUAAUUUGCAGAGGAUGCUUCGAGAGCGAGUACGGUUUAAGUCCAUUGGAACAUGGGGUCAUAGAGGGUGAGAAUCCCGUACUUGACUAGUGCUCAAUCUCAAACGUAGCUCCUUCGACGAGUCGAGUUGUUUGGGAAUGCAGCUCUAAAUGGGUGGUAAAUUUCAUCUAAAGCUAAAUACCGGCCAGAGACCGAUAGUGCACAAGUAGAGUGAUCGAAAGAUGAAAAGCACUUUGGAAAGAGAGUCAAAAAGUACGUGAAAUUGUUGAAAGGGAAGCGUUGGCAACCAGACCUGUCCACACGCGAUCAAUCCCCGUUCUCGGUGGUGCACUCGUUUGUGAUCAGGCCAGCAUCAGUUCAAGCGGUUGGAUAAAGGUCGUAGGAAUGUAGCAUCCCUCGGGGUGCUUUAUAGCCUUUGACGUAAUACAGCCAGCCUGGACUGAGGAAUGCGCUUCGGCUUGGAUGUUGGCGUAAUGGUUGUCAACGGC